rnacentral:lncRNA from 1 species
GCCAUGGGGAACCUCAGGUCCCGUCAGUUCUCUGUUGUCUUGGCCAUUAUGGGUUUGAGUGGCCCAGAUUCCCCUUGGAGCCUGAGGCAGUCCCUUUUCCAAUGGCCCUCUUGCUUAUGGUAGGCACACUGAUUCUGGCUCAGGGGCCAGCAAGUUGGGGGCUAUCGUCUGGGCAGCCCAGACACCGAUCUUGCAACACUUCCCUGGGAUGAAUAACCUCGAGGCAGCAGGUGGCUUAAGGCAGCCACUAACAACUGGGCUUUUUGGCUUUUUAUUUUGGUUUUCUCUGCUUCCUCUGCUCUGUCCCUGUUGUUGUAAACCCAAUGGCCAUGUACAAGAGUUGACUCAUGGGAGUUUGAGGUCCCAUUUCUGCCUUUUGUAACUUCCUCAUAAUGCCAGGGGCAUAUUAAGUAAUUAAAUGCAUACCUAGGAGAGCUCACCCUUCCAGGGAGUUUGGGUCUACACUUAGCAUAUUUCCUGCUUGCCUCAACCAAACUGUCCUGAAAUAGAGUGAGAUUUUUGUCCUUCCUCGGAGUUACUUCUCUAACCUUGUUGUAAUUAACUAGCUUAACCACACACUUUUCCAUACCUACUGUUAAACAAGUUACCAUGUGAUUUCUGUGUUCAAGAUCUUGGGAACCCCUCUGGUAAUCCCACUGAGGGACCAGAUCUAGAGCUGCAUCUCCCCUCACAUGAUAAAUGGCAUGACCUUAGUUACCAGUUGCCACUCCAUUUGCAUAUUCAUGAGCAGUACCCAGAAUCCUUUGUUUCUCCUCUGCAGUACAGCAGGUAGACAAUAAUAUUUGCAAGUCAUGCCAUGUUAAGUCAAAGAACACGAUCAACUGAACAAAUUUCUCCGUAAACUUUCCUGGAUCCUCUGAAAACCAACCAAAUUUCUCCUUGCGUAAAGUCAAAUCAGACAAAGAAAAAGGCACAUGGCUGAGCACAGUGGCUCACACCUGUAAUCCUAGCACUUUGAAAGGCCAGGACGCGCAGAUCGCUUGAGUCUAGGGCUUCAACACCAGAGUCAGGCAUCCCAGAGUCAGGACAACAGGGGACCUCUCAAAAUUAGAAAAGAAGGGGUUAAAAACAAACACGGAAAGUGUCUUGCCUUACAUUGAACAGAAACAAUUGCCCAAAUAUCUAAAGGAAAGACCACAAAUGCAACAACAAAAUAAGUGUAAAAGUAAAAUGGCGGUCAUUAGCCACUAAAGAGAAAAAGGAAGGUCCAGGAGAAAGGGUGACAAGGACAUGCCAGGCCUGCUGCCAUUCGGGACACUCAGAUGAUGGGGGACAAUGAGCUACCAAGCCAGAGACUCAGUUCCCAUUUCCUGGCUCACCCAAAAAGGUCAAUAUUGAGGGGGAACAAAGGGAAGACUGACCUUUGUGUGUGGAAGUCAAAUGGUGCUAAUCUGUCUUUAUUUGGGGUUUGGGUGAAGGUUUCCCUCAGGUUCCCUUGUCUUGUGAGUUGCCAGGAAAGAUGAUGGCUCUGAAAAGAGUCCUUUAGGCGCAGCUCUACAGCGCAAACUGCCCUAGAGUUACAGCUUCAUAGUGUUACAGCUCCACAACUCCGAUCUGUACUGAGUCACUUUGUCCCAUUCAUCUUGUUCCCAUUGUUUGUCCCAUCUGGGUCACCAGGCUGAUACAGGCAAAUCCCGAAAUUGGGGCUCAGCUCAGGAGGAUCCUUGGCUUCACCCAGGAAGGAAUUCAAGAGUGAGCUGACAAUGAAAGAAAGCAAGUUUAUUUGAGCAACAGUGUACAGCCAAGUGACUGCUUCAUAGACAGAGCAGGGCCAUCCCAUAGACAGACUGGUCUGGAGUAGCACUUGUGGAUUGCUGGCUACCUAUAUUUAUACCCAUUCUUAAUUAUUUGCUAAAUAAGGGGUGGGUUAUUCACAAACUUUACGGAAAAAGGGAAGAGAGUUCCCAGAAUUAUAUAAGAUAACUUCCAGGUCAUUGCCAUGGCAUUUGUAAACUGUCAUGGUACUGAUAGAAGUGUCUUAUGCAAGUGCAUUAUAAUUGCUGGUCCUACCUGGCUUUGGGCAGUUUCUUUGCUACCUACCAUUUAGAUAGACAGGGUCCUGACCAGUGCUCAGAAAACAAGUCCUGCUGAUCGCCUACCUCAAAACAAACCAAAACAUUAAUUGUGAGAAUAUUCUAGAAAGACAAGUUGGUAAGAAAGAAGAUACUGUAAAGACUCAAACAGAAAUGUAACAUAACAUGUAAAGAAUGAAAUAAGAAAUAGCAAGGAAAUACAGCAAAGAUGCUAAAUUGGUGUAAGUUAAGAGUUAAAUGAACCCAGAGAACAAAUGAUAAAGUCCUUUAAAAAGCACUAUGAUGGAAAGAAUGGGGUGUUCCUGGUGGAAGGCCUGGCACAGGUAAUGUUUUGUUAGCUUUCCAGAAAGAUUAAAAGAUUAUGCCCAAAGGAUUCCCUUGAGAAGUGGCAGGUGUAAGAGGACUCUGGAAAUCAGUAAGUAAUCCAGCUUCAAAAAAAUAAUUUUUAAAAAGUAGUCUCUUCUUGAGGAGAAAUGGAGAUCCAAAACAGAUGUUUGAGCACAUCAGAGGCCCCUACUGUUCUGCAUCUGCAGAGGCAGAAUCUUAUGCAGUCUGGGCUCCUGUUGUCACCGAGGCCAUUAAGCCAUCUCUGAGCACCGCUGGGGGGCCACGCACAGCCUGAACCCUCUCCGGGAGUGUGCUGCCAAGCACUGGAGAGGAGAUUUAGUUUGGUUUUAUUCUUAUCAUGAUCAUGUUUUAUUAAUUUAUAUCUUUCAUUCCUCUAUAACAUGAGGUCCAUUUGUCAUCAGUGAAAUACCUCAAGCCAGAUAUAUACUGUUUUCACAUACCAUGUAAUAUUUGAUACGAUUAAGAAAAGCCGUGCUUGCUUUAGCAGCACAAACACUAAAAUUGGAACAGUGCAGAGAUUAGCACAUGGCUCCUGUACAAAGAUGACACACAAAUUCAUGAAGCAUAAAAAAGAAAGAAAAGAAAAGCAGUAAACUGGUGAGUUAACAGUUAACUGGAAAAGGUAUCGCUUUGAAGGCAAUUCAAUUUAUUACCCGUCUACAUAUCAACCUUACCACCUGAUUCUAAAUUUAAAUACUUGCUGUUUACCAACAGGAAAUUACAACUCCAUUUACAUGUGUCUCUGGGGAAACAGCAUGCAAAGAAUGGCCACAUCUUCUUUAUAUAUGCAAGGCAAAUAUCUGGAACAAAACAAAACAAUUCUGGAAUCCCACAUGACAUUAAUAUUUUAGGAGUAGAUCACAAGAUCCCCAAAGAAGAAAACAAAAAAAAAAAACUUCACAUUAUAGAAAAAGAAAUCACAUACACAUCAAUUUUGAGUAAGAUAGAGCAAUAUAUCUCAAACUACUUGUGCAAAACCAGUUGGUUUUUUGUUCAUUUUAAUUUGUUUCAACCAAUACUUUUGAGAAAUAAGAGUUUGUUUCUAGAAAAAAAUGAUAAUACAGUAAAUUAUAGAAUACAAAAUACAAGUCUCACUUUUUAAAUUAUUGAUUCAGCAUAAAUAAAAUCACUCUAAAAUUGCAGUAAAAGUUCCCAAACACUUAGGCUCAGUUCUCUAUUUAGUUGAUGGCAGACCAGAUCACCAACCCACACUUGUCCAAGGACCAUAUUUUGAAUACACUGAGAUAAAGCAUCUAAAAAUGGAGAUCUUAGCCCAGCACAGUGGCUCACCCUCCUAGUCUCAGCUACUCAGGAGGCUGAGGCAGGAGGAUCUCUUGACCCCAGGAGUAUAGGCUGCAGUGAGCUAUGAUAACACCACUGUACUCCAGCCUGGGCGUCAGAGCAAGACUCUGUCUCUUUUUGUUUUGUUUUGUUUUGAGACAGGGUCUCGCUCUGUCACUCAGGCUGGAGUUCAGUGGUGUGAUCUCGGCUCACUGCAACCUCCAUCUCCUGGGUUCAAGUGAUUCUCCUGCCUCAGCCUCCCAAGUACUGGGAUUACAGGUGCCUGCCACCACACCGGUCUAAUUUUUGUAUUUUUUUUGUAGAGACAGGGUUUCACCAUGUUGCCCAGGCUGAUCUCGAACUCCUGAGCUUAAGCUAUCCACCCGCCUCGGCCUGCCAAACUGCUGGAAUUACAGGCAUGAGCCACUGUGCCUGGCAGAUACCCUGUCUCUUAAAAAAAAUUAAAAAUGAAAAAGUCAUAAAAAUGGAGAUUUUCCAGGCCAGGCGCGGUGGCUCACGCCUGUAAUCCCAGCACACUCAGAGGCCGAGGUGGGCAGAUAACAAGGUCAGGAGAUCAAGACCAUCCUGGCUA